rnacentral:rRNA from 1 species
UACGUAUGGUGCAAGCGUUAUCCGGAUUUACUGGGUGUAAAGGGAGCGUAGACGGCUGUGUAAGUCUGAAGUGAAAGCCCGGGGCUCAACCCCGGGACUGCUUUGGAAACUAUGCGGCUAGAGUGUCGGAGAGGUAAGUGGAAUUCCCAGUGUAGCGGUGAAAUGCGUAAAUAUUGGGAGGAACACCAGUGGCGAAGGCGGCUUACUGGACGAUGACUGACGUUGAGGCUCGAAAGCGUGGGGAGCAAACAGG